rnacentral:rRNA from 2 species
GUAGGAGCCGGUGACUGC